CACUGCCGUUGUACCCUUGAGCAAGGUACUUAACCGAAAUUGCUCCAGUAUAUAACCAGCUGUAUAAAUGGAUACAAUGUAAAAUGCUAUGUAAAAGUUGUGUAAGUCGCUCUGGAUAAGAGCGUCUGCUAAAUGCCUGUAAUGUAAUGUAAUAUAAUGAAGGAAGGAAGUGUAAACCCACACACAGAUGUGUGUUGAACACGUGUGACUUGCACACCUACGCACAGACACGUGUUCAAUGUGAGAAAGCCAUUUUAAUGUUCGCAAUUUCUACGGUUUUGUUUUUGGCUUGGUUUGUCAGUUUUGUUAUUUGCUCCAUCAAUUCCUAUGUCAGCAAGCAUACCAAACUCGGCACAUGGCACUUCAGGAGAGAAUUGUAUCUACAGCACAGUGGGCCAAAUCCCAGUUACUCUGGGAGCUCCUCAACCAGUGACCACAGAGAAGAGUGGACAAAGCUCACAUCCCUACAGACGGGCUGCAGUGUGUCUGGGGCUGCUCUGUGCUCUCUUAUUGGCUGCCACAUUAGUCCUGUGUGUCCUUUGUGAGUAUCACACACUGCCUGUGUGUAUGUCUUUAUUGGAAAUAUAGCUGAACUGUGAUUUUAAAGUAAACAUUUUAACUUUUUAUUUGCUAUGUAAACUGUCAAUCUGCUGUAUAACCAAUGUGUCUGAGUGG